GCAGCUUAUUUUCGGCGAUUUUCCAAGAAAUCCCUAGUUCUCUUCCUCAUGCGUGUGAAGACAACAAAAAUACAAGCCAGAAGCCAUGGAGGGAUACGACCAUCAGAGAGAUUCAACUUUUUUGCCCACUCUGGAGGGUUUCUUAUCACCAGCAAUACUAUAAGUAUGGUUACCAUUGCAACCCCGACCAAUAUCCUGG
rnacentral:lncRNA from 1 species